GUUACAUGUAUUAUUGUUAUGAAAUCUAUUUAUAGCCACAGAUCUGUUUACAAACGUUAUAAUAUUAUCAUUUGUGGUACAUUAUAUGUAUCAAAAUCACGAGUUUUUUAAUAGUGCUUUAACAUUUAAUCAUAGUGACAGAAAAGGGAAAGAAAACAUAAUUAACCUAUAAUUCGAAUCUAAAGUCACGUGGAUGGAAAUUCAAAUUCGUAGGCGUUACGUUUUGGCUGUCGGUCAGGAAUCGGGAUGCACUGAUAAAGUGAAUAUUAUAGAUUUUCUUGAACAAAAAGGUAGUUAAAGUGUUGGACAUGCUCUCAAAGGUCGGAGGGACAGAAACACGUGAAUAUGAAUAAAGAAACAUAUGAAAUGAAAAUGAUGUCACACACGCUAUUGGACGCUACAUAUCCUCCGGACAGACGAGGGGUGCUGAAAGAAGGUCAUAUCUUAAAGCAUCACACCUCAAAAUUCGUGCUAAUUCUCAUGGAGAAGUAACUAAAAGGCAGCAAUUUAUACAUUACUGACAAUUAUCAAAGGAGGUCAAAAUAUGCAAAAUGGCACUAAAUGUUUUAGAAAUGCUGUAGAAAUAUAGUUAAAAUACUGAAAAUUAAUUGCUUGAAACAUUAUUAUCAGAAUCUUUUAACUUUUCUUUAAAUUAUAAUAUUUUUAUUAUUUUAUUUGAUAAGGCAAACUUUGAUAGA